GAUGAAGAACGCAGCGAAAUGCGAUAAGUAAUGUGAAUUGCAGAAUUCAGUGAAUCAUCGAAUCUUUGAACGCACCUUGCGCCCUUUGGCUAUUCCGAAGGGCAUGCCUGUUUGAGUAUCAUGAACACCUCAACUCUCAUGGUUUGCCAUGAUGAGCUUGGACUCUGGGGGUCUUGCUGGCUUAUGGUCAGCUCCUCUUAAAUGAAUCAGCUUUCCAGUGUUUGGUGGCAUCACAGGUGUGAUAACUAUCUACGCUUGUGGUGUCCUCCCAGGUAACCUUCAGCAAUGGAGGUUGCUGGAGCUAAUAAAUGCACAUCUCUCAUUGUGGAGAUGGCCUUUUAGAUGUUUGAUCUCAAAUCAGGUAGGACUACCCGCUGAACUUAAGCAUAUCAAUAAGCGGAGGGA
rnacentral:misc_RNA from 1 species